rnacentral:rRNA from 1 species
CUACGGAGGGUGCAAGCGUUACUCGGAAUCACUGGGCGUAAAGGAUGCGUAGGCGGAUAAUCAAGUCAAAAGUGAAAUCCUACAGCUUAACUGUAGAACUGCUUUCGAAACUGGUUAUCUAGAAUAUGGAAGAGGCAGAUGGAAUUAGUGGUGUAGGGGUAAAAUCCGUAGAGAUCACUAGGAAUACCGAUUGCGAAGGCGAUCUGCUGGGACAUUAUUGACGCUGAGGCAUGAAAGCGUGGGGAGCAAACAGGAUUAGAAACCCUAGUAGUCC